CUCAGACUUGCAAACCAGCCAGACAUGGACCUUCGAGGGGCCCCGGUUUACUGUGAAAACAGCAAUGUCUCCACCUGGAUCCUGGAGAAGGUGAUACACACUGGAGCUGCAGGAAGAGCUCCUUGGCAGAGAUACUCUGUGGAGAAGCAGCCACCACCCAAGGGAGAUGCUGGAAAAAUGAUGAGCCAUCCACAGCACUCAACACAGGGUUGGCACAGAGUAAGUGCCCAGCAGACAUUUCUUAAGGGAAGGAAGUAGGAUAAUUACUCCAAACCCCCAGGAAAG